GACGAACGCUGGCGGCGUGCCUAAUGAAUGCGAGUCGCACGAGAACCAGAGCGCGUCUUCGGACAAGUUCUGGGGAGAGUGGCGAACGGGUGAGUAACACGUGGGUAACCUGCCUCGAAGACGGGGACAACAGGGGGAAACCCCUGCUAAUACCCGAUAUUCCGCUGGUCACACAAGUGACCGGCAGGAAAGCUCCGGCGCUUCGAGAUGGGCCCGCGGCCGAUUAGCUAGUUGGUGAGGUAAAGGCUCACCAAGGCGACAAUCGGUAGCCGACCUGAGAGGGUGGCCGGCCACACUGGGACUGAGACAUGGUCCAGACUCCUACGGGAGUUAGCAUCAGGGGAUCUUGCUCAAUGGGCGCAAGCCUGAAGCAGCGACGCCGCGUGGGUGAUGAAGGUCUGCGGAUCGUAAAGCCCUGUCAGGAGGGAAGAAGUUCUGACGGUACCUCCAAAGGAAGCCCCGGCUAACUACGUGCCAGCAGCCGCGGUAACACGUAGGGGGCCAGCGUUGUCCGGAAUUACUGGGCGUAAAGCGCGCGCAGGCGGUCAGGUAAGCGGGAGGUGAAAUGCCGGGGCUCAACCCUGGCGCUGCUUUCCGAACUGCCAGACUAGAGUACGGGAGAGGGCAGUGGAAUUGCUGGUGUAGCGGUGGAAUGCGUAAAUAUCAGCAAGAACACCCGUGGCGAAGGCUGCUGCCUGGAACGUUACUGACGCUGAGGCGCGAAAGCUAGGGUAGCAAACGGGAUUAGAUACCCCGGUAGUCCUAGCUGUAAACGAUGGACACUAGGUGUUGGGAGCAUCGACUCUCCCAGUGCUGUUAUGCUAACGCGUUAAGUGUCCCGCCUGGGGAGUACGGCCGCAAGGCUGAAACUCAAAGGAAUUGACGG
rnacentral:rRNA from 1 species